UACAGAGGUGCCGAGCGUUAGGCGGAAUCACUGGGCUUAAAGCGUGUGUAGGCGGACUUCUAAGUACCUUGUGAAAUCCCACGGCUCACCCGUGGAACUGCUGGGUAUACUGGUCGUCUUGAGCCACCUAGGGGCGAGCGGAACAAAUGGUGGAGCGGUGAAAUGCGUAGAUAUCAUUUGGAACGCCAACGGUGAAAACAGCUCGCUGGGGGUGUGCUGACGCUGAGACGCGAAAGCGUGGGGAGCAAACAGG
rnacentral:rRNA from 1 species